rnacentral:lncRNA from 1 species
UUCAUUACUAGACAAUCAACCUACAUAUACAUCUCUACCGCCACAUCUGAACAACUGCCAUCAUAGCAGCCCCAUCUCCUCUCCUAUCUUCUAAUAUUUCUUCACGAUUUGGUUCACCAUUACCCACAAUUAUUGACACUAUAUAAACCAACAUUUAAAUCACCAAACAAUCAUCAAGAAUUGUUCUUAAUUUUUUGAGACUUCUCUCUUCUUCAUCAAUGUACAAUUUAUAAUUUUCAAAAACUCAUUUUAUAUCUCUAGUUUUCAUGACUUUAUCCCAA